CGUUGAUUACGUCCCUGCCCUUUGUACACACCGCCCGUCGCUACUACCGAUUGAAUGGCUCAGUGAGGCGUCCGGACUGGCCCAGAGAGGUGGGCAACUACCACUCAGGGCCGGAAAGUUCUCCAAACUCGGUCAUUUAGAGGAAGUAAAAGUCGUAACAAGG
rnacentral:rRNA from 2 species